rnacentral:misc_RNA from 1 species
UGUGAGAGCGGGCUUGCUCGCGAAUGCGGUGUGUCAGGCACUGUAUCUGUUACUGAUCCACCGCUUUCGCGAGCAAGCCCGCUCCCACA